GACGAACGCUGGCGGCGUGCUUAACACAUGCAAGUCGAACGGAAAGGCCCUGCUUGCAGGGUGCUCGAGUGGCGAACGGGUGAGUAACACGUGGGUGAUCUGCCCCUUACUUUGGGAUAAGCCUGGGAAACUGGGUCUAAUACUGGAUAGGACCAUGCUGUAGGUGGUGUGGUGGAAAGAUUUUUUCGGUAAGGGAUGAGCUCGCGGCCUAUCAGCUUGUUGGUGGGGUAAUGGCCUACCAAGGCGUCGACGGGUAGCCGGCCUGAGAGGGUGGACGGCCACAUUGGGACUGAGAUACGGCCCAGACUCCUACGGGAGGCAGCAGUAGGGAAUAUUGCACAAUGGGCGCAAGCCUGAUGCAGCGACGCCGCGUGGGGGAUGACGGCCUUCGGGUUGUAAACUCCUUUCAGCCAUGACGAAGCCUCUUUUGGGGUGACGGUAGUGGUAGAAGAAGCACCGGCUAACUACGUG
rnacentral:rRNA from 1 species